UCCAUGGGAAGACCAAAAAACAGAAUUGCAUUCAAAAAUAGACUUGUACUUAUAAGAGCUGAUAACUGAGGCUGCAUGUCUCAAAACAACACAACAUCGAAGUAUACUCCUUCAUAACAGCGGCUGAGUAUCAGAUCAAAUAUUUUACACUGUUUCAGUUUGGCAAGCUUGAUCGUCAUAAUCUCGGGGGCAAAGCACUAACAAAUAAAACAAAACAAAAACCCGGAUACACGGCGCAGUCAAAACUUUGACGAUUCCCUGUGCCUUCUUUCAUCUCUCAAACUCCCGUCAAAAAUAGAUUAUACUCUUAUAGAUCUUCACCUCCUGUUAAACCUCCCACCACCGCCUCCCCUGCCUCUUCCACCACCAAAUCGCCCGCCUCCGCCCCCGCCGAAUCUCCUUCCACCACCUCCACGGCCAAACCUCGACCCACCAAAGUUACCCUUGGACUGCUCCCUCUCUUGCAAGGCUGGCAGUUGCUUCACUUCAUCAAUUGUCAACCCGGCUGCGUUCUCCGCGCCUGCAAGCAAACAUGAAGCAAUUUUGAGCAGCUGAGGUUGCAAUACCC
rnacentral:lncRNA from 1 species